CAGCAGCCGCGGUAAUACGUAUGUCUCAAGCGUUAUCCGGAAUUACUGGGUGUAAAGGGUUUGUAGGUUGUUAGUUAAGUUGGAUAUGAAAGACCGGAGCUUAACUCCGUGUUUGUAUUCAAAACUGGCUGACUAGAAUUAGGGAGAGGUAAGCGGAAUUCUAAGUGUAGGGGUGCAAUCCGUAGAUACUUAGAAGAACACCAAAAGCGAAGGCAGCUUACUGGAACUAUAUUGACACUGAAAAACGAAAGCAUGGGGAGCAAAAAGGAUUAGAUACCCUUGUAGUCCAUGCCCUAAACGAUGAUAACUUAGUGUUGGGAUUUCCCAGUGCUGAACUAACGCGAUAAGUUAUCCACCUGAGGAGUACGGUC
rnacentral:rRNA from 1 species